rnacentral:rRNA from 1 species
UACGUAGGGGGCAAGCGUUGUCCGGAAUUAUUGGGCGUAAAGAGCGUGUAGGCGGUCCGGUAAGUCGGCUGUGAAAGUCCAGGGCUCAACCCUGGGAUGCCGGUCGAUACUGCCGGACUAGAGUUCGGAAGAGGCGAGUGGAAUUCCCGGUGUAGCGGUGAAAUGCGCAGAUAUCGGGUGGAACACCUAUGGCGAAGGCAGCUCGCUGGGACGUUACUGACGCUGAGACGCGAAAGCGUGGGGAGCAAACAGG